AGUUCAGGGCUGUUGCUGCCCCCUCUUGCAUCUCAGUGCCUACUCUCGUGGUGAAAUUGCCAUAUUUACGUCUGUAUCCUUCACAUGUGGGAGCUCCUCGAGGAAAUGACUGUGAUUAUCAUGUUCACAACCUUAGCACUUGGCCCAGGGAAAACAGUGGACUGCAGGCUGCUGUGAAGGCAGAGACCAGAUGUCACAUGUUUAUGUCCCCUCCAAGCACCUCUACAGGUCUUGGGCUUCUAUUUUGACCGUGACAAUGUGGCUCUGGAGGGCGUGGGCCACCUCUUCUGCCAGUUGGCUGAGGCGAAGCUGG